UGCUCCAGUCCAUCGCAUGGUGGUCUGGGAAAGAUUUUAUCGGCAUGGGAUGGGGUCGCGUCCUAUCAGCUUGUUGGUGGGGUAACGGCCUACCAAGGCGUUGACGGGUAGCCGGCCUGAGAGGGCGACCGGCCACAUUGGGACUGAGAUACGGCCCAGACUCCUACGGGAGGCAGCAGUGGGGAAUAUUGCACAAUGGGCGCAAGCCUGAUGCAGCGACGCCGCGUGCGGGAUGGAGGCCUUCGGGUUGUAAACCGCUUUUGUUCAAGGGCAAGGCACGGUUUCGGCCGUGUUGAGUGGAUUGUUCGAAUAAGCACCGGCUAACUACGUGCCAGCAGCCGCGGUAAUACGUAGGGUGCAAGCGUUAUCCGGAAUUAUUGGGCGUAAAGGGCUCGUAGGCGGUUCGUCGCGUCCGGUGUGAAAGUCCAUCGCUUAACGGUGGAUCCGCGCCGGGUACGGGCGGGCUUGAGUGCGGUAGGGGAGACUGGAAUUCCCGGUGUAACGGUGGAAUGUGUAGAUAUCGGGAAGAACACCAAUGGCGAAGGCAGGUCUCUGGGCCGUCACUGACGCUGAGGAGCGAAAGCGUGGGGAGCGAACAGGAUUAGAUACCCUGGUAGUCCACGCCGUAAACGGUGGGUACUAGGUGUGGGGUCCAUUCCACGGGUUCCGUGCCGUAGCUAACGCUUUAAGUACCCCGCCUGGGGAGUACGGCCGCAAGGCUAAAACUCAAAGGAAUUGACGGGGCCCCGCACAAGCGGCGGAGCAUGCGGAUUAAUUCGAUGCAACGCGAAGAACCUUACCUGGGCUUGACAUGUUCCCGACAGCCCCAGAGAUGGGUGUGCCUCUUUUGGGGUCGGUUCACAGGUGGUGCAUGGCUGUCGUCAGCUCGUGUCGUGAGAUGUUGGGUUAAGUCCCGCAACGAGCGCAACCCUUGCUCACUGUUGCCAGCACGUUAUGGUGGGGACUCAGUGGAGACCGCCGGGGUCAACUCGGAGGAAGGUGGGGAUGACGUCAAGUCAUCAUGCCCCUUAUGUCCAGGGCUUCACGCAUGCUACAAUGGCUGGUACAGAGAGUGGCGAGCCUGUGAGGGUGAGCGAAUCUCGGAAAGCCGGUCUCAGUUCGGAUUGGGGUCUGCAACUCGACCUCAUGAAGUCGGAGUCGCUAGUAAUCGCAGAUCAGCAACGC
rnacentral:rRNA from 1 species